rnacentral:rRNA from 1 species
AACGAACGCUGGCGGCAGGCUUAACACAUGCAAGUCGAGCGCCCCGCAAGGGGAGCAGCAGACGGGUGAGUAACGCGUGGGAAUCUACCCAUCUCUACGGAAUAACGCAUGGAAGCGUGUGCUAAUACCGUAUACGUCCUUCGGGAGAAAGAUUUAUCGGAGAGGGAUGAGCCCGCGUUGGAUUAGCUAGUUGGUGGGGUAAAGGCCUACCAAGGCGACGAUCCAUAGCUGGUCUGAGAGGAUGAUCAGCCACACUGGGACUGAGACACGGCCCAGACUCCUACGGGAGGCAGCAGUGGGGAAUAUUGGACAAUGGGCGCAAGCCUGAUCCAGCCAUGCCGCGUGAGUGAUGAAGGCCCUAGGGUUGUAAAGCUCUUUCACCGGUGAAGAUAAUGACGGUAACCGGAGAAGAAGCCCCGGCUAACUUCGUGCCAGCAGCCGCCGUAAAAC